rnacentral:rRNA from 1 species
AUUUGAAAGCUGGCUCCUUCGGAGUCCGCAUUGUAAUUUGCAGAGGAUGCUUUGGGUGCGGCCCCCGUCUAAGUGCCCUGGAACGGGCCGUCAGAGAGGGUGAGAAUCCCGUCUUGGGCGGGGUGUCCGUGCCCGUGUAAAGCUCCUUCGACGAGUCGAGUUGUUUGGGAAUGCAGCUCUAAAUGGGUGGUAAAUUUCAUCUAAAGCUAAAUACUGGCCGGAGACCGAUAGCGCACAAGUAGAGUGAUCGAAAGAUGAAAAGCACUUUGAAAAGAGAGUUAAACAGCACGUGAAAUUGUUGAAAGGGAAGCGCUUGCGACCAGACUCGCCCGCGGGGUUCAGCCGGCAUUCGUGCCGGUGUACUUCCCCGUGGGCGGGCCAGCGUCGGUUUGGGCGGCCGGUCAAAGGCCCCUGGAAUGUAGUGCCCUCCGGGGCACCUUAUAGCCAGGGGUGCAAUGCGGCCAGCCUGGACCGAGGAACGCGCUUCGGCACGGACGCUGGCAUAAUGGUCGUAAACGACCCGUCUUGAA